CCCUAUCCCCGUCCAGGCCCCGCCCCACUCCGGGCACCGCCCGGGGCUCCCGGUGUGGGAGGUGCCGCUCCCGGGUCCAGCGGUCGCGCGCGCCCUGGAGUCCUGUCCUGGUUCUGGCGGCUGAGGGCCGGGUGGCGCAGGGCGGCCUCCGGGGACUCCGGCUGUGCCCAUGGGAACUAAAACCUUCGGCUCUAGAAGAGCCGGGGGAGAGGCUCCGGGAAGACCGAAUUCUUCAGAAAUCGCAGAGAGACCUUGGACCGGAUCCUUCCCUGCAGGGCUGCGUCGGGGAAGCGCCGGCACAAGUAUAUUCAGUGACUUCCUUGGAAGCGCCUACGUUAGAAUACUACAAACUUACAAGCUAGUUGAUGAGUUUACCUCCCACUAGAAAAGAGAGUAUGGGAAGGCAGAGGCCGCGUGGCCUGGACCCCCCCGUCUUUGCUGUCAGGCUUCCAGAGUGAAGGUGGGGCUCAUACUCAGACUAGUUCCUGGUCCAUUCAUUCUUUCAGUCAGUCAGUCAGUCAUUCCUACAGGGCCAGAAACUUUUUUUUUUUUGAGACAGAGUUUCGCUGUUGUUGCCCAGACUGGAGUACAAUGGCGUGCGGCUCACCGUAACCUCCGUCUCCUGGGUUCAAGAGAUUCUCCUGCCUCAGCCUCCCGAGUAGUUGGGAUUACAGGCAUGUGCCAGCACACCCGGCUAAUUUUUGUGUUCUUAGUAGAGACGGAGUUUCUCCAUGUUGGCCAGGCUGGUCUCGAAUUCCCGACCUCAGGUGAUCUGCCCGCCUCGGCCUCCCGAAGUGCUGCAAUUACAGGCCUGAGCCACCGCGGCCGGCCCAGAAACAUGUUUUGAAGGGCAGGCACCGCACAGGGUGCUGGAGACAGACUGAAGGAAACUGCACCUCUCAGUGACUCAAGAGAGAUUUGUUGAGUAUCUACCAAGUGCCUAGCGCUGUUCUUGUCCCUGGGGAUUCAGCCUCUGGAUUGGGACCUGCAGCCCAGAGAAGGGAAAUGGGGGAAAUCCAAGUUCCCAGGUACAUCAUGAUACCCUUCCAGCCUCUCCUUCCUGGAAAUCGCCAUCAUCAGCGGCCAUAGCACCCCCAUGGGACCUGGGGGAUGGAGUUGGAAGCCCCCUCUGGCAACACUGGCCAGAUUGGAGGGACCAGCAGGGAAGCUCCCUCCUACCCCCAGGGAGGCUGAAGCCAGCUCUCCAUGGCCACGAAACCUGGAACCCAGGACCCUGGGAAGCAGUUAACGUUAUAUUUUGGAGACCACUCUACAUCAAUACAUAGAGUGUGUCCUCAUCUUCACAGCUGCACGGUAUUCCAGCACAAGGAUGUAUGGUAAUUUACAGAUGCACUUCUUGGCAGAGGGACCUUCAGGUUGCUUCCAGCCCUUUCUCAAGACAGGCAGUGCCGCGGCUGGAGUACAAUGUACAAUGGUGUCAUCAUAGCUGACUGCAGCCUCGACCUCCUGGGCUUAAGCCAUCCUCCCGCCUUGGCCUCCUGCGUGAAUGGGACUACAGGCACGCACCACCAUGCCCAGCUUGCAGUGGUCAUUUUAUCAGCUCUGUCAGCUUGUCCUUCUCGGAGACUGUGCCAGGUACCAGGCCCCCACACAGUCAACAGGGCUGUUUCUCCUCAGGCUCACCAGCCCCUGGUUUCCACCUAUUUUGAUUUUUGUCCAUCUGAAAGGCAAAAACUAAAUAAAACAAAGGAAUUUGGGUGUA